rnacentral:rRNA from 1 species
GACGAACGCUGGCGGCGUGCUUAACACAUGCAAGUCGAACGGAAAGGCCCUGCUUUUGUGGGGUGCUCGAGUGGCGAACGGGUGAGUAACACGUGAGUAACCUGCCCUUGACUUUGGGAUAACUUCAGGAAACUGGGGCUAAUACCGGAUAGGAGCUCCUGCUGCAUGGUGGGGGUUGGAAAGUUUCGGCGGUUGGGGAUGGACUCGCGGCUUAUCAGCUUGUUGGUGGGGUAGUGGCUUACCAAGGCUUUGACGGGUAGCCGGCCUGAGAGGGUGACCGGCCACAUUGGGACUGAGAUACGGCCCAGACUCCUACGUGAGGCAGCAGUGGGGAAUAUUGCACAAUGGGCGGAAGCCUGAUGCAGCAACGCCGCGUGCGGGAUGACGGCCUGCGGGUUGUAAACCGCUUUCGCCUGUGACGAAGCGUGAGUGACGGUAAUGGGUAAAGAAGCACCGGCUAACUACGUG